CUGAGGAUUGACAGGCAAUAUUAAUACGUUUUGCUUCGGUAAACGCGUAUUAUGUUAAAUAUGCUAGUCCUUUCAUGAUUAUGUGAUAGGUGGUGCAUGGCCGUUCUUAGUUCGUGGAGUGAUCUGUCUGCUUAAUUGCGUUUCACUAAGGGCCUAUAAAUUUACGUGUGUUGCAUCGCACUUUGACCCCUUUCUUUAAUUAGAGAGCGCGUGUCUUAGUUUUCGCCUUGCUCAUACAAUUAGGUCCUGAAAGCAACGAACGUGACCGCAACCUCUUGUUGCCUUUAUACCAAACAUGUUUUGCGUCAAUUUUUACGAAUUGCGCGCAUUUCAUGAAAAAAGGCUUUUUAAACUAGAGGGACCGCUGUUACUUUCUUAAACCAGAGGAAGGUUGCGGCAAUAACAGGUCUGUGAUGCCCUUAGAUGUUCCGGGCUGCACACGUGCUACAAUGAUUAUUGCAGUGAGCAUCUCAUUUUUACACACCGCAUGCGCGAGUCCAUUUAUUCACCUUCGGGUGUUUUAAAUGUGUAUCUCUGCGCGCGGUAAAGCCUGCUUCGACAGUAAAGUGGGUAAAUCAAUUAGAAGUAAUGAUUUUCCUUUUUUUAGCACACAUAUAUACGGCGUCUAUGCCCGGGAUUACCUGUUGUAGCUUUUGUGCGUAUAGAUGUUUUUUUCCGUAUGUGCGAUUGUCAAUUCAUGGUGGGGACAGACCAUUGUUAAUUGUUGGUCUCGGUCUUAACUAGGAAUGCCUUGUACGGGUCUUUGGUUCAACAAACCACCCGGAAUACGUCCCUGCCCUUUGUACACACCGCCCGUCGCUCUUACCGAUGGACUUCUCUGUGAGUUUGAGGGACUGGGAACGCAGGAAUUUAUUUCUGCACACCUAUGGAAACUUAAACGAACAGUGUGGUCUAAAGGAAAGAGAAGUCGUAACAAGGCAUCGGUAGGUGAACCUGCAGAAGGAUCA
rnacentral:rRNA from 1 species